UACGAAGGGGGCUAGCGUUGUUCGGAAUUACUGGGCGUAAAGCGUGCGCAGGCGGUUUCUCAAGUCAGGGGUGAAAGCCCAGAGCUCAACUCUGGAAUUGCCUUUGAAACUGUGAAGCUCGAGUGCGGGAGAGGUGAGUGGAAUUCCCAGUGUAGAGGUGAAAUUCGUAGAUAUUGGGAAGAACACCGGUGGCGAAGGCGGCUCACUGGCCCGUUUCUGACGCUCAUGCACGACAGCGUGGGGAUCAAACAG
rnacentral:rRNA from 1 species